rnacentral:rRNA from 1 species
AUUGAACGCUGGCGGCAUGCCUUACACAUGCAAGUCGAACGGUAACAGGUCUUCGGAUGCUGACGAGUGGCGAACGGGUGAGUAAUACAUCGGAACGUGCCCGAGAGUGGGGGAUAACGAGGCGAAAGCUUUGCUAAUACCGCAUACGAUCUCAGGAUGAAAGCAGGGGACCGCAAGGCCUUGCGCUCACGGAGCGGCCGAUGGCAGAUUAGGUAGUUGGUGGGAUAAAAGCUUACCAAGCCAACGAUCUGUAGCUGGUCUGAGAGGACGACCAGCCACACUGGGACUGAGACACGGCCCAGACUCCUACGGGGGGCAGCAGUGGGGAAUUUUGGACAAUGGGCGCAAGCCUGAUCCAGCCAUGCCGCGUGCAGGAUGAAGGCCUUCGGGUUGUAAACUGCUUUUGUACGGAACGAAAAGACUCUGGUUAAUACCUGGGGUCCAUGACGGUACCGUAAGAAUAAGCACCGGCUAACUACGUGCCAGCAGCCGCAGUAAAAC